rnacentral:rRNA from 1 species
CGGCGCAUUAGCUAGUUGGUGAGGUAACGGCUCACCAAGGCGACGAUGCGUAGCCGACCUGAGAGGGUGAUCGGCCACACUGGGACUGAGACACGGCCCAGACUCCUACGGGAGGCAGCAGUAGGGAAUCUUCCGCAAUGGACGCAAGUCUGACGGAGCAACGCCGCGUGAGCGAAGAAGGUCUUCGGAUCGUAAAGCUCUGUUGUAAGGGAAGAACAAGUACCAGAGUAAAUGCUGGUACCUUGACGGUACCUUACCAGAAAGCCACGGCUAACUACGUGCCAGCAGCCGCGGUAAUACGUAGGUGGCAAGCGUUGUC